rnacentral:rRNA from 1 species
GACGAACGCUGGCGGCGUGCCUAAUACAUGCAAGUCGAACGCAGUGGGGACGGGUGAGUAACAAGUGGGUAACCUCCCAUCAGAGGGGAUAAACCUUGGAAACAGGUGCUAAACUGAAACUGAUGGAUGGACCCGCGGUGCAUUAGCUAGUUGGUGAGGUAACGGCCAACCAAGGCCACGAUGCAUAGCCGCACGGAGAGGGUGAGCGGCCACACUGGAACUGAGACACGGCCCAGACUCCUACGGUAGGCAGCAGUGGGGAAUCUUGGGCAAUGGACGAAAGUCUGACCGAGCAACGCCGCGUGAGUGAAGAAGGUUUUCGGAUCGUAAAGCUCUGUUGGUAGAGAAGCGGUAUCUAACCAGAAAGCCACGGCUAACUACGUGCCAGCAGCCGCGGUAAUUC